rnacentral:lncRNA from 1 species
ACCCCCCAAAGUGUCACGAGUCCCACCACUGCGACAGGUGCCCCCUCCACUGCGACCACCCAGAGGGUCACGACUCCCACCACUGCGACCGGUGCCCCCUCCACUGCGACCACCCAGAGGGUCACGACUCCCACCACUGCGACAGGUGCCCCCUCCACUGCGACCACCCAGAGGGUCACGACUCCCAUCACUGCGAGAGGUGCCCCCUCCACGGCGACCACCCAGAGGGUCACGACUCCCACCACUGUGACAGGUGCCCCCUCCACUGCGACCACCCAGAGGGUCACGACUCCCACCACUGCGACGGGUGCCCCCUCCACGGCGACCACCCAGAGUGUCACGACUCCCACCACUGUGACAGGUGCCCCCUCCACUGCGACCACCCAGAGGGUCACGACUCCCACCACUGCGACAGGUGCCCCUCCACGGCGACCACCCAGAGGUCACGACUCCACCACUGUGAUGGGUGCCCCCUCCACUGCGACCCCCCAGAGUGUCACCACCCCCACCACUGCGACAGGUGCCCCCUCCACGGCGACCACCCAGAGGGUCACGACUCCCACCACUGUGAUGGGUGCCCCCUCCACUGCGACCCCCAGAGUGUCACCACCCCCACCACUGUGACAGGUCCCUCCUCUCCAGGGUCCACCGAGUCGGUCUCCACCCACACCACUGUGACAGGUCCCCCCUCCCCUGGUACCACACGGAGCGUCACCACCCCCAGCAGUGUGACCCGUCUCCUGUCAACUGGGACCACCCGGACAUUUGCUGUUCUCAUUCCCUCCACCUUCCCAGGGUCCCUGUCCACGACCCUCAAACCAGGCUUGCCCAGUGUAUCGCCCACUAGUUUGCUCUCGACCCCCUCCCUGCGGACCCGUCCUGCCUCCCCAGGCACUGUGCCCUCCUCUUCUCCGGAGACUGCCAGCAGCCUGACCCCCUUCUCGGUGCCCACCGUCUCCCCCGGAUCGCCUGGCCCCACCACGCCCUCCUGCCUCUGCCGCGCCUACGGAGAGUUCUUCCGACCCGGUGCGUGAGCAGCCUGGCCCCUCCUCCACACCCAGCCCCGACACUGGAUUCCGGCGGGCAGUGUCCCGGGGCCAGGGUCCUUGACCUGCGCUGGUUUGCCCUCCUGGCCCCCUGCCCCGCUGACCUGUGUGUCUCUGGCUUUGUAGGCGACGUCGUGUACAACAAGACCGACGGCGCGGGCUGCCAGUUCUUAGCUGUCUGCAACGAGCACUGUGACAUCGACCGCCUCCAGGGCACCUGCCCCACCUCCGCACCCCCCGAGUCCUCGCCCCCCGCUC